rnacentral:rRNA from 1 species
AUGCUCGCUGGCCGACCUAGUGCUAGGCGUGGACGAAGGCCGACGCGGAGGCGCGGGACUUGUCUCCACCAGAUCGGCGGCCAUGGCAAUCGUGCAUCCGAAGCACCGCGGCCGGGCUCCGUGCCUUCCUCUCCGUCUCGCUCGCCUGGCGCUUGGAGUGUCUGCUCGUCGUCGGCUCCCACCACCCUGUGCGUGCAGUUGUGCUGUGCCCUGACUUGCCCAGGUGCAGGUGCGGCAGUAGUGCCGCGGUGGCUGGUCCCCUGCAACUACAAGCCGGCGCCGGUUGAUGAUCUAUUCCCCACUCCAGCUUUCAUAUCUGCUUAG